AGCUCAGUUCCGCGCGAAAGCAAAGCGACCGAUGCCUACCUACUUGCCUACACUACACGAGUUCAGGUUCAUCCAAAGGCAACGGAACAAGAGCGCGGCCCGAUCGGCAGAUGAUGAAGCUAGGGACAGGCGAGCAUGGCCCUGGACAAGGGAGAGAGAUGAGAUAGAGCAAGCGAUGUCACUGAAUUAUGAUGCCUACCGUACCCUACCCGCCGAGCACUUUGGAUGGACGAGCGCCGCCGGCCCAUCGGAGCGCGCGUCCGCGUAGGACGCAACUGCAGCUGCAGCAGGAAUCACCCGCUUUUUUCUUUCUCUCGCUGGAGGGCGGCGAUGCCCCGCCCGGCGGCCAGCGCCAACGGCCACUGCUGGCAGGGACAGGACGGCCAGCGACGCGCACUACCGGUGGUGCGCAGGCGACGGGGGCGGAUCGCGACCGGGAUAAGCCUCGCGUGGAGCCGUGAGGUGCUGUGUGUCAUGUGACUAUGUGAGCCUUGCCUUGCCGCCCCCGUCCUCCUGCCGUGAGUGGCCCGGCGGCGAUAGAUCGGUCGCCGGAUCGGACGUCGCGUGCCUCUCAGCCGGCGCCGGCGCGACCUAUGCGGCCGUGCCGGGACGGCGCGCGCUGCGUCUGCCCCACGCCUCGCGCUUUUCCGUACGUGUCCUUUUUCUCUCUCCCCGUCGUGACUGUAACCGGCUUGUGGUUCAGUGCGUUUGGGCAGGCGGAAAGAGAAAGGGAAAUUGCAGGCGAACACUAUUCCUCUGCAUCGCUUUGCCCGGUCGCGAUUGGAAUUGUGCAGUCCUCGUGUAGGCGUACAGAAUCUCUGAAUACAAUUUGACUCAUCAAGAUACAGAGCCUGUUGAUUUCUUGCUACAUUAUCAUUGCUCCGGGGAUUAUUUCCUUGGUAUUGGCCUGCGCUUUUGCAAGUGCGAGCCGAGUAAAAAGCGCCCCAGCUUUUUACGCGGUGAAAACUGAAAAGGAGUUGCAGCACCAGUAGACAGGGACAAGACGUUAGCCAAAAGGCAGAUGAUCCACAAAGAAGCUAAACCUACCAGAUUAGAACUCAGAGCCAUGCUGUUUGCGGUAACCGUGUGUAUGGCUCAAAAGGGAGAAGGGAAGAACAAGACAGCAUAAACUCUUGCAAUGUGGCAGAAAAUUUGUUGCAUUAUUUCUCCGUCUCGCAUUCCGCGAGACCACCGGGCUAGUUAGGGGAAAACGCAAGUAAAACGAUUACAACACGCGCACACUCCAUCCACUAGUGAAAAGAAAGCGAAAAGGAGAGGAAAAAAAAGAGAGAGA